rnacentral:rRNA from 1 species
GCCUUAGGUCGACCCGCUGAAUUUAAGCAUAUCACUAAGCGGAGGAAAAGAAACUAACCAGGAUUCCCCUAGUAACGGCGAGUGAAGAGGGAAAAGCCCAGCACCGAAGCCUGCGGUAAUUUUGCUGUUAGGCAAUGUGGUGUUUGGGUCGGCUCGCGGAAUUGCCACUCCACUCGAAGUCCAGCAUUGAGUAUGGUCACUGGAAUUGGCCCAGAGAGGGUGAAAGGCCCGUACGGGUGGAGGAUCAGACAUGUAAGGCAAUUCACCAGGCCGGCCUUAGAGUCGGGUUGUUUGAGAAUGCAGCCCAAAGUGGGUGGUAAACUCCAUCCAAGGCUAAAUACAAGCACGAGUCCGAUAGCGAACAAGUACCGUGAGGGAAAGUUGAAAAGUACUUUGAAGAGAGAGUAAACAGUACGUGAAACCGCAUGCAGGUAAACGGGUGGCGUCAAGCUGCGAACCCAGAGGAUUCAGCUGGCUAGGAUGUUGUGAUGCGCCUGGCGCAUCCAUCAGUCGGAAUAAGAUGUGAUAGUCCACUGGGAGACGGUGGGCCCGGCCGCAAGGCUGGGAUAUGUGUACCGGGUGUAAGCCGGAGCAUGCUAUUCAUCUGUUGGGCUGUCUAGUCAGUGCACUUUCUCUGUGGUGAACACCACGACCGGUGGAAUUGCCAGUCUGCUGUAGUCAAGUCUUGCUGAGAGGGUCCUUGUGGCCAACUUGGUAGGAUCACAGGCAAUGUCAGUGAACGGCGUAGGGGUGCCUUUGGUGUUCCUGCGUGUUAUCGGCUACUGCUUGUCAACGGGCCUACUUGGUGGUUGUUGUAACUGCCAUUGAGUGGUCUGGUGGGCUAUGGUGGUAAGAAAAACUGUGCAAGGCACCGGAGAUGUCGGCCUCAAAUGCGCUCUGCACUGGCAUGUUACAAGUGCGUGGGGGUGCCAUUGCGGUCUGCCUGUUGUUGAGUCUGAUUGUCGUGUCGCCUGCGCAAAGUGGGCCCGGCAGUGGCUUGACGCAGGAUGGGCUGUGGAUGGAAUCUCUCAGGUGUAGAGUGCGGUGGGCCCAAUAGUCAGUGGUGCUGUGGUAGACGAGCUACCCGACCCGUCUUGAAACACGGACCAAGGAGUUUAACAUGUAUGCAAGUCAAGGGGUCCUACGAAACCCAAAGGGGCAGUGAAAGUAAAGCUUAGAUUAGUUCUCGGAGUAAGGUGAGAUCCUGCCGUGACUCGCAUCGCUUGGUGCCAGCAUCAGGCAAAGAGCGGUAGGCGCAUCACCGGCCCGUCUCAUGAUGUGGUCAUUGGAUGUCUGCAGUCGUUGCUUGCAGCGGCUGCGGUGCCAGUGCGUCAUCGGGGCGGAGCAUGAGCAUACAUGUUGAGACCCGAAAGAUGGUGAACUAUGC